rnacentral:rRNA from 1 species
GACGAACGCUGGCGGCGUGCUUAACACAUGCAAGUCGAACGAAGAGCGAUGGAAGCUUGCUUCUAUCAAUCUUAGUGGCGAACGGGUGAGUAACGCGUAAUCAACCUGCCCUUCAGAGGGGGACAACAGUUGGAAACGACUGCUAAUACCGCAUACGAUCUAAACUCGGCAUCGAGGAUAGAUGAAAGGUGGCCUCUACAUGUAAGCUAUCACUGAAGGAGGGGAUUGCGUCUGAUUAGCUAGUUGGAGGGGUAACGGCCCACCAAGGCGAUGAUCAGUAGCCGGUCUGAGAGGAUGAACGGCCACAUUGGGACUGAGACACGGCCCAGACUCCUACGGGAGGCAGCAGUGGGGAAUCUUCCGCAAUGGACGAAAGUCUGACGGAGCAACGCCGCGUGAGUGAGGACGGCCGUCGGGUUGUAAAGCUCUGUUAAUCGGGACGAAAGGCCUUCUUGCGAAUAGUGAGAAGGAUUGACGGUACCGGAAUAGAAAGCCACGGCUAACUACGUG